rnacentral:rRNA from 1 species
GAGUUUGAUCGUGGCUCAGGAUGAACGCUAGCGGCAGGCUUAACACAUGCAAGUCGAGGGGUAGAGUUAGCUUGCUAACUUGAGACCGGCGCACGGGUGCGUAACGCGUAUGCAAUCUACCUUGUACAGGGGGAUAGCCCAGAGAAAUUUGGAUUAAUACCCCAUAGUGUUAUGAUGUGGCAUCACAUUAUAACUAAAGUUCCAACGGUACAAGAUGAGCAUGCGUCCCAUUAGCUAGUUGGUGUGGUAACGGCAUACCAAGGCAACGAUGGGUAGGGGUCCUGAGGGGGAGAUCCCCCACACUGGUACUGAGACACGGACCAGACUCCUACGGGAGGCAGCAGUGAGGAAUAUUGGUCAAUGGGCGCAAGCCUGAACCAGCCAUGCCGCGUGCAGGAUGACGGUCCUAUGGAUUGUAAACUGCUUUUUGUACAGGAAGAAACACUCCCUCGUGAGGGAGCUUGACGGUACUGUAAGAAUAAGGAUCGGCUAACUCCGUGCCAG